rnacentral:rRNA from 1 species
UACAGGGGGUGCAAACGUUGCUCGGAAUCAUUGGGCGUAAAGCGCACGUAGGCGGUCUGUUAUGUCGGAUGUGAAAGCCCACGGCUCAACCGUGGAGGGUCAUUGGAAACUGGGGGACUUGAGUGCAGGAGAGAAGAGUGGAAUUCCACGUGUAGCGGUGAAAUGCGUAGAGAUGUGGAGGAACACCAGUGGCGGAGGCGACUCUUUGGCCUGUAACUGACGCUGAGGCGCGAAAGCCAGGGGAGCAAACGGG